UACGGGGGGGGCAAGCGUUGUUCGGAAUUACUGGGCGUAAAGGGCUCGUAGGCGGCCCUCUCAGUCGGAUGUGAAAUCCCCAGGCUUAACCUGGGAACGGCAUCCGAUACUGGAGGGCUUGAAUUCGGGAGAGGGAUGCAGAAUUCCAGGUGUAGCGGUGAAAUGCGUAGAUAUCAAGAGGAACACCAGUGGCGAAGGCGAGUCCCUGGACAACACCUGACACUGAGGCACGAAAGCUAGGGGAGCAAACAGG
rnacentral:rRNA from 1 species